rnacentral:rRNA from 1 species
GACGAACGCUGGCGGCGUGGAUUAGGCAUGCAAGUCGAACGGUAUCAUCCUUUCGGGGGUGAGAGAGUGGCGAACUGGUGAGUAACACGUAGGUUAUCUACCCUCAAGACGGGGACAACCCAGGGAAACUUGGGCUAAUACCGGAUGUGAGCAACUUUUAGUUGUUUGAAAGGUGGCGUAAGCUGUCGCUUGGGGAUGAGCCUGCGUCCUAUUAGUUAGUUGGUGAGGUAACGGCUCACCUAGGCAAUGAUAGGUAGGCGGCCUUAACGGGUGGUCGCCCACACUGGGAUUGAGAUACGGCCCAGACUCCUACGGGAGGCAGCAGUCGAGAAUAGUCUACAAUGGUCGGAAGACUGAUAGUGCGACGCCGCGUGAACGAUGAAUCCCUUCGGGGUGUAAAGUUCUUUUAUAUGUGAGCAGUGCUUCUUAUAUUAACGUAUGGGGAGAGAGAUAUUAGCAUAUGAAUAAGCAACGGCUAACUCCGUGCCCAGCAGCCGCGGUAAACUCG